UCCACAGCAUGUUGCCAUCAAAAGGACUUAGUAAGGAAUCUCAAAUGUGCUUUCCAGUAGGAGAAAGAGAAAGAAGAAGUAAGCAAAAGAGGCCACACAGAAGAAUUUGUAGAUUUCAUUGAUACAGACUAUGGAAGAUAAUAUACGAAGAGCUCUAGUAUGUAUGCUUAUCUCAUUAUCUCCAUUUUCAGCUGUAGCCACUGUUCUGACCAGUAAGGAAAGAGCAAUUCCUG